AUUCGAGGGAGAAGCAGCGACUAAGAAGCCCACUCCAAAUAUACACAAGCGACAAAUCAAACGAUAUUUUUGCAGCAAAACCAGCAAACUGGAUUUCCUGAGUUGAAAGAUCUUACUCCAUGAUGAAAAAAGCUGCUUAUGGAAAUGGAAUUGGACAGUACACAUUUUCAUGCACAUAUUUAUGACAAAACAAAAAUGAGAUGUCAAAUAGCCACCCAGAGACAAGAAAGGCAACUGAAUGCAAAAAAACAAUCUUCAUAACUUCUUAUCGUCAAUGCUUCUCCUCUACUCAACAAUUCUAUAUUUAAUGUAAUGUAAUUAGUUUUUUUCACUCUCUUUUUACGUUAAAUUUUAAUUUAUUGAACUAAUAGCAGUUAUU